rnacentral:tRNA from 1 species
AGGAUAAUAGUUAAUUUAACAUUUAAUUUGCAUUUAAAAGAUAUUGAUUUUUCAAUUUAUCUUU